rnacentral:rRNA from 1 species
GACGAACGCUGGCGGCGUGCCUAAUACAUGCAAGUCGAACGCUUCUUUUUCCACUGGAGCUUGCUCCACCGGAAAAAGAAGAGUGGCGAACGGGUGAGUAACACGUGGGUAACCUGCCCAUCAGAAGGGGAUAACACUUGGAAACAGGUGCUAAUACCGUAUAACAAUCAAAACCGCAUGGUUUUGAUUUGAAAGGCGCUUUCGGGUGUCGCUGAUGGAUGGACCCGCGGUGCAUUAGCUAGUUGGUGAGGUAACGGCUCACCAAGGCCACGAUGCAUAGCCGACCUGAGAGGGUGAUCGGCCACAUUGGGACUGAGACACGGCCCAA